AUUUGCCCGGUCAAAAAGAGGGGUGUGCUAUAUUGUACAGCUCAUGUUUUACACAUGAUUGCAGACUUCAUGUGUCCACAAGUUCUAUUCUGUUCCAUAACCGUGUGGAUUUCACUUUAGAAGUUUCAAUGGAAACAUGACAACAGUUUCCAUUCUAGGUUGUGAGCAGCCUCUGCUGGCCAAACUGGGUUUGAGGCCAAUGGCCAUGUGCAAGCAGCGCUGGAAAGGAUCGGGACUGGGACCAACUACCAUCAAUCAGCCCAUUCACUCAUAGCAAAGCAGCAAAAUCUGACUUGUGUGUGUGUGUUGACCAGGGCUGGGGUGCAUUGUAGUUGCAUUGCAUGUGUGUGUACAUGGUGUGCAAUGCUCCUUCCAUGCAACACAGAGCUGUGUCGUGAUGACACUCUGUGUAAUUCAGUCUUUACAAUUGCGAGCAAGAAUGAAAUAAAGUCAAGGUCUGACAUUCUGAAA